GCAACAGCUCGCCACACCCUUCACCAGCUCACCGCAACAAGUCCACGUGGAGAUUCAAAUGCCAUGAAAAAUCUUAACUUCACUAAGCCACUACACCAUGGAAUAAAAAUUAAUUACUAUCCAAGAACAAGAGACAAAGACCUACUGGGAUAAGACUGACAAGGACAGAAAUGUAUCACAGGCAUGACAGAUUGACAAGUAUUCUAUCAUUCUUCUUAAUCUUCUUCAGCAUUUAAAUAAAAGCAUCUGUUUAUUUCCACAUUCAAAAA